AAAACUAUACUUCCAGGGAUCAUUUCUGUAGUUUGUUACUGGAGAAUUUCUGUGAACGUGUAGAGCACCAAAAACCACGAGGGGGAGGCACAGUAUUCCCUCCUGAGUGUGAAACCAGCUCUUGGUGUUGCUUCCCUACAAUUGCUGUUUGCCAUUGGUGAUCCUUCUUUUCUUCCUUUGGGAGAGUAAGGGAGAGGAUACAGUCUGGGUGGU
rnacentral:snoRNA from 1 species